AACAAUGUAAUUACAAAAACAAAUAAAUUUCUACACAAAGAUCUUAUUUCAGCUACAUCACAUGACAUCACAUAUAAGAGUGCACUCCUAGUUAAAAAUUAAAUUGAAAUAGAUCCAAAUAUCUUAAGAACCACGUGGUUACAUAAAGUUAAUACAAUUAUAAGUUAUGCCCUUAUUCUUAAUAUAUAUUUUUGUAGGUAUUUAGAUAACCUAUAGUUAUUAAUCCAUAAAAUAAUUAACAGGUCUAAAUGUUUAGUUAAUAUAUAUUUAUCUAAUUGUUUUCUUCAACAGAAAACCCAUAAUUUAUACCUUUUAUACAUGCAUUUCUCUGAUGCUCUUUUAGUUACAGAUAUUUGAGAUAAAUAUAUUUAACUAUAAAUUUACUUUCAAGAAAAAAAAAAUGCAACCUUCAAGUUAUCUCUAAUUCUCAAGGUUAUUGUACAAACAUUUAUAAGAUGAUAACAGAUAUGACUCUGUCUACAGAAAUAUCCAAAGGCUUUAACUAUAUUUUCAUUGAGACAUUUCUUAUCAAGGUACAAUAAUUUGUUUAGAUUCUAAGGUUUUCAGAAAUUAUUUCAAAGUAUAACCAGGAAAAAUUCUAAAAGGAAACAACGAUGCUUCACCAGAGAGGAAGCACACAUUGGAGGUCCUAAGAAAAACAAAGGAAUCAUCUUUGGGUAAGAAAAGGUUGUUAUAUUCUGGAUUUUAAUGAUAAAAGUAUUUUCCUAAAAAGGAAAAUCUUUAUAUCAUUAUCAAGACAGAUGAUAUAGAAAGUUAAAACAAUUAAAAAAGAGAUUUAUGUGUACUGGACUUACUAUAAAAAUUUUUAACUGAUUAAUUCAAGGAUAUUCCAGGCUAUUUUUCUGAUUUUACUGUGCUGAUAUGAGCUAAGAUUUUUUCCAUAUUUUGAUAUGAUAAAGACCUAUUAAAAUGUUAAGUUUAACUUACUUAAGGAAGGUCUUUAUUGUCUGAUGAUUCUUACUAUUUAAGUCAAGGGUUAAUUUUGGUGAAUAAACUCAUAUCCUUGAUUAAACACUGAAUAUAUUAACUGCUGACUUAGAUCCCAAUUUUGACAAUUCCCCUUGGAUACUAAAUUUGAUUAAUCUAUCAAAUUAAUCAAAGACACUGUUGAUUCUUACAUAUUACUUUUGUUUGUUGAAUAAUUAUGAGAUUUGAGAGAUCAUUGUAUUAGGACUGAGGUUUUCCAAAUUGAAGUCGUGUGUUAGUUUUGAACAAUAAAGGUUGCAAACCUUGUUGGAAAUUCAUUGUUAUUAUAUAAGUUCUCUGACUGGACCUAUUAUCCAUAAAAAAUAUGGUAGGAGUUAUAUAUUAUUCCCUACAUUGGGAAGUAACCUUAAUCAUAUUUUUUAAAAGAAAUUAAGACACACCUAUUUAAAGGACAAUAUUCUGAAGUAUAGAGAUAUUUUGAGACCUUCUCUCAAAAAGAGAUUGAGAGUUCUUUCUAAAUUGUUAGGAUGAAUCAAAUAAUCUAUUUGAAAAUUUACAAUAAUCAAUAAAAAUUGAAAAAUUUUGAAUAUUGAAAAAUUACAAUAAUCAAUAAAAGGUAAAUCUUUUCUUAACAUUUAAGUACUUGUACUAUUAUCUAUAACAUAAACUGAUGAUACAUUGGCUUACACGAAGGCUUUACCCAAUUUUGUUAAAUAAAAAAGGGGGGGAGGGGACAGGCCCCGAGAGGCACACACUGGAUCUUACAAAAUAUUUUAAAAAUUUUUUCUUAAUUGUAAUAUUGAGAGUCUCAUUGUUGUUAAACUUGAUUCAGUAAAUUAAAUCAGAUGUCAAAGUAGAGUUUAAACCAGUCAUCAUGAAAAUUACUGAUAAAACUGACACAGGAAGGUAAAUUUCCAACUGCAAAGUUUAUAGCCAUAUAGAUUCACUAGUUUGUCAGGUAAGUAAAAAUUAUGAAAAGACUUGUGUGGACCCAUUUCUCAGGUCCACCUUUAAUGUACCUUGCAGUGUGGACUGGAAAGUCCACCCAUGAAACUUGAUUAAUUAUACUGACUAUAAUGGUCAAUUAUACCUCUAUGUUGAUGCUAUGGUAAACAGGCUGUCUGGGAGUAUCUUUUGAGAAGAAGACAGUAUAUAAGAAACCUAAACCAGCCAAUUCUGCUUGUCCUUAGAAAUUAGACUACCUAUCUGGACAAUUGUCAUGAAGAUUAUUAAAACAGAAUUUUCCUAUACAGGCAAGUUAUUUACAUAAAAUAUCCACCAAUGUAUUAUUGUCUUAAUCAUUCUACAAUAGAAGUUGACACCUUUUCUACUUGGAUAGAUUAAGCAAAUGUCUUGUCAGUACAACACAAGAUGUCUAGAAAUAAUGGAUAUAUUAGGUUAGUCUCCUAAAAUGGACAAGAACAAUUACAUGAGGAUGCUGUAAUUCUUAGAAACUCUAACCCUCAGAAAGAUGACACCUAGAAGGAUGUUUUGAUGUUUGACUUCUACCUUCAGAAUAUUUACAUUACUGAUAACCUAAUAGACUUCUUAAAUGUGAGAAUUAAGAGAAAAGAUUAUAAAUAUUCUGUAACUUGUAAGAAUACAACUUAUCUUAUUGCAUCACUAGUUAUUGCCAGCUAAUAUUUCAGAGCUAUAAUAUGCUGAAGUUAAUGUACAGACUUUGAAACAGGUGCAUGUCAAUUAGCCAGACCUAGGCAAGCUGCUGGUCUCAUCAACCUUGAAGUGACUACUUUAAAUAUUAUUCCUAGCUUCCACAAUUACAGCCUUUAUGGCUAUAUCUUAAAACUUACUGUGGGUAACCAUUCUCGCACGUGAUUGGGCACCUCCCGGAUUGGGUGUGAGGUGUUCUGGCCAAACUGUGUCAGAGCUUUCCCCACCCUCUCCAGGUGCGAGAGCCUGUCCACGUGGGGAUGUGACUGACCACUGACCCUGAGGCCAAUCACUGACCCUGACCUUGGAAUGCUGCCCCCUUGACCUUCAUUGGAUGGAAUUUUCCCCUGAAUUUCUUGUUCCCCAAUAAAAGGCCACUCCCUGGCAUGCUCUCUCUCUCUCCUGCGAGCCCUGAGUAAGCCUUGCUGCCCCACCGGGUGGUUCGAGGUGUGAGCCAGAGAGGUGAGAGCCGUCUCAGACCUGGUCAUAGGAAAAGGUAAUUGAGUCUGUGUGUUUUAUUUUGAUCUCACUAGUUAACUUCUGUGCCACGAACCUCUUUAAUGAAACCAGUGUACUGGUCGCCUGGUGGAACUUACAACAGAUACACUUUCUUAAUUUGACUUAGUUACUUCAAAGAUCCUUCAUAGUCAGAUAAGUGCUGAUGGAAGGAUGGGGCUAAGUUAAAAUGCUCUAAAAGACAAUGUAAUAAAUAUUGUGAAUGAGCCCUCUGCUCUAUGGUUUGUGGAAAGGCUUAUAUGCCAUGGCAAAUAAAACUGUCUGUGUUACUAUGGCCAAAUGCAAUGCGUCCCAAUAAAGUUGGGAAAAGAUUAAGAAUCUUCUGAUGAGAGUUUGGCAAAGUAAUAAUAAUAACCUGGAUCUUCCAAGUUAUUGUGUUAUUGAAAUGAUAUGUUUUCUACAAAUUCCUUUUGUGUUUCAAUAGUAGAUCAUAAUGACCUUGGAAGAAGAAUCCAGUGACUAAUAGAUAUAAUUCCCAAUUGCCUUUAAAUAUUAAGAAAGGGGGAAUAUGUGGGGAGCCACUCUGAAUGAUUCAUGCCUUCCAUCCUGAAGCAAGAGACUUUGACAGGUCACUGCAUUUCACAUUGUCCCAGUCCAGGAAGUUGAGGGCCUGUUUUUAAACUUAGGCAGUCACCGAUGGAGUUGAGCUAUACUCACCUAUUGCUUUGUAAUACUAUGCCUUUUCCCUGUUUGGAUUGAAUGUUCCAUGAAAUCACCCUUUGAGUGUCCCCUUCUCUUGCUCUGCCUUUGGGUGUGGCCUUCCUAGAUGUCAGUCAACCUGCUGACAGCAGACAUCAGGAAGCUAGACUCAACCCCCUGAAACCUGACACCUUGCCUUAUUUGAAUGGCUUCUCCUUAAUAAAAUGGUUCUUUCAGCACAUGCUCUCUCUCUCUCUCUUUUCCUGCAGACCCUUAAGGUCAGAAGAGCCGUCACAGGACCCCAAAGAAAAAGGUAUCUUUGUCUCUUGUGUGAUGAUUUCAUGCAGCCCAGUUCCCCUGGAGUGACCCUGAAUGUUUUAGUCAUGAGGAACGUGACAUUCUGGGGUGAAUCUCACUUGGUCCUAGUAUAUAAUUUAGUGAAUGUUCUGUUGAAUUUGCUCUACCAGUAUUUUGUUAAGGAUUUUUGUGGCUGCAGACAUGAGGUAUAUUGGUCUGUAUCUAUAGUUUUUGUUGUGGUUUUUGUAAUACUAUAGAAAAUUUACAGUCUGGCCUAUUUGAAGGUCAUCCAAGUUGUGUUUAGAAUGCUGCUUCUCAGACAGGAAAGCGAAAGCUGAGCAGAAGUCCCACCAUAAUUCUUUUCUGUGAACCUGAACCUGCUCUUCCUUGCUGCUCCAGGGAUGGACCCACACAUUGACCAAUCACUGUGGGAGGCCAGGCCUUAGCACUCAGCCUGUCACCUGGUACCAUUAGUCCUGGACCAAAUCCUGUGUGGAAAAGCCACAGCAGUUCUCACUUGCAUUCAUUGCAGAUUUUCAUCAUUGAUGUGUCCUCUAUCAAAUGAGGUCCUCUAUAGAGACACCCUGAACACACCAGUGUGUUUAUGUAACAGCUUCCUUGACUUCCCUCCUUGUGGCACAGAUAGACACACCUCAGCAGCCGCAGGGUUCCUUGGUGGGUAGGGAGCAGAUGUGGCCAUCUACCCCCUCUGCAUGGAAGUUACUGAGGGCUCCAAUUCUGGGCAUUUCGAACAGUGCUGGCAGGAUAAGUACCUAGAUUUGGACAUGCUGGAUGAAGAAGGGACACAUGCUAAGGACUUGGAAGGGUGCUGCCAAACGAUUCUGAGGAGUAUCUGUGGUCACAUCUCUCAGGGGAUCUGCCCAGGCCUCUAUCUCCUGUCUUCUCACCAGAAUAGUUCAGCAGUAUUUUCAGUGAGACUCCAUCUCAAAUAAGGAAAAGUGCCCCUGGGUUUAAUCCCUAGUAGUUAAAUAAUACAAAACAAACAAAUAAAAUAAAAAUAAGCAAGCAAUACAAAUCCUAAAAAACUUAGGUCUACAUGGGAUUUACUGUUCAAAGCAAAUUCAAGUGUAAACAGUCCCUUCCACUACUAUAUGGUCAAACAGAAGCUGGACUGCAGUGAUGUGAAAAACCCAGAGGAGGCAAACCCCAGGGAGAGAAUAAUGACUGUUCCCUGGAGACUAGCAGGAGGGAGAAGGGGAAGGAGUGGGUAUGGGUACCAGAUAUAGGAUAAGGGAUGCAGCUAAGCCAAUAAGCUGAUGUUUUGUUUUUUUUUUUUUUUAAAUAGUCUUACAUCUUAAAAUCAGCUAGUUUAAACAAAAAUACAAAAAGAAAAACAUGAAAGAGAGGAGAGGGGAAAGGCAGCUCUGGGGUGGAAAUAGGUGCAAGGGGGAGCUCAGUAGGUGGUGCAGAGGUGGGGCCACUAGGAGGUACAGGCCUGAAGUUGCUGUUGAAGGUGGUUCUGACCCUGGUGCUCUCUCAGGUGGUGGAGGUGGUAAUGGAAAUUGAGCUGGGGUUUCUUAUCUUUUCCUUUAUCCUAACUUUCGUGUCCGUACAGACUACUGUAUGUAUGUUUCUAAGUGCCUCAUUAUUCUUCUUGGCUUAUUGUUGAUAUUACCAUAAAAUAUGUGUACUCUUCUGUUCGGCACUAGUGUUGAGACUUACCUGCCUGAUGACAUGGAGCUAGACAUCAUUGUUUUCUCCUGUGGGAUGUGUUCCCCAUUACUAAGCAAAUUUAUCUUUUCUCUAGCCAUUGAAGUUUAUAUAUAUAUAUAUAUAUAUAUAUAUAUAUAUAUAUAUAUAUAUAUAUAUAUAUAU
rnacentral:lncRNA from 1 species